GGCUGUCAGACUUUCAGGGUAAACAGGGAUUGAAUACCAAGAACCGUAGAAUUUGCGCAAUACAGGGAUCCACCAAUGGAAACGUCCACUGGGAUUUGAUAUUUAUUACUGGGUAUAUUUUUCAAAGGGUACGGCCACGUCCAGACAUCGCAACGACGAUGAAUGGGAAAAGAAAUCACAACUAGAUGCCAACGGACAACUAGGAAAAACUCAACGUUUACCAAGACCAACGGAG
rnacentral:lncRNA from 1 species